GGUCAUGAGUGUCAGCGUCAAGCCCCGGCUAGCUGGCCGGCAACCCUCCUCGCGACGGGGUGCCCCGGGUGAUGACCCGGCCGCAUCGGAGUGAUGUGGCAAGGCGAGACC
rfam:Janibacter hoylei PVAS-1 Contig14, whole genome shotgun sequence.